rnacentral:rRNA from 1 species
GAUGAACGCUGGCGGCGUGCCUAAUACAUGCAAGUCGAACGCUGGAGAUCUAGCUUGCUAGAUCGGAGGAGUGGCGAACGGGUGCGUAAUACAUAAGCAACCUACCCACGAAGACUGGGAUAAUCUCUGGAAACGGGGACUAAUACCGGAUAGGUAAUCGGAAGGCAUCUUCUGGUUAUUAAAGGUUAAAAACACUGGUGGAUGGGCUUAUGGCGCAUUAGUUAGUUGGUGAGGUAACGGCCCACCAAGACGAAGAUGCGUAGCCGGGCUGAGGAGGUGAACGGCUACAUUGGGACUGAGGCACAGCCCAGACUGCUACGGAGCGCAGCAGUAGGGAAGUUACUGCAAUGAGGCCUACCCUGACCGAGCAACGCCGCGUGAGUGAAGACGGCCUUCGGGUUGUAAAGCUCUGUUGUAAGGAAAGAACGGUAGAUAGAGAAUAUCUAAGUGACGGUACCUUACCAGAAAGCCACGGCUAACUACGUG